CCAUUCCUAAGCUCCGAACUACCUCGAUAGGACAAAGUUGUAGCAUAAGUGAUCAGACAGUCGUUUUAAAGGGCGUGACAAGUACACAAGCUGGAAGCCUUCAGAAGGGCGUGAUUUAAGAACUGCGUUUCCAAAGGUGGAGAGGUGUUAGACACACAGGAGACACACCUCGGGUAGCGGACAAUAUACAUGAGAAUAUGUGAAGUUCGACAGAACAUGCUAUGGUCACCAUAAGAAGUCCACAGGCCUGGAGAAUAUAGUCUGUGACGAGAACUUAGGGGGCCUGCGCCACGAGAAGCUUCCAGCAGAGAGCCAAGAGAGCAUUCUCCCAGCGUGCGCUGCAAGCUCCCACCCACUGACUACACAUUCCUCCUGCACCAAUCCUUGCCUUCCACUGAGGCUUGCUCGGAGAUUCGAGGAACAGUGGCAGUCUCCAGCAGUAUACCAGGCAGCGGAAUGAGCAAAGGAAAAGGUAAAGAUGCCCCUGCCCUGCUGUUCCACGCAGAACUCAUCGGCUCACUUUCAAAGGCGUUGACUCUACUGCGGCUGGUGUCGCAGCUGCACUCGCCUCUGUGCUAGCUAAUUCUGUCAACUCGGUGACAUGUAACUGUAACUGUAGAAACACAUCUCUGCGAAUCUCUGUAAGGGACGUUCUAGACCAGGUUAACUGACACAGGAAGACCCGGCCCUAGCCGUGGGCAGCACUGUUAAAUGAACUGGGGUCCCAGAACAGAGAGGAGAAAGUGAGCUGAGCCCACCGUUCAUCUCGCUUUGCAUCAUGGGCCUCUGCUCAAGCUCCUACCACGGAGCUUUCCCCAGCGUGAGGGACUGAAUGCCUAACUCACCAUCCUCCUCUAGGUCCCUCGAAGCACACAGCAUCCCGAGUGAUGCCCACAGCAUCCCGAGUGACUCGCGCAGUCCCAAAGACAGCGUUGACCCACUGAGUCUUUAAGUAUCUGCUCUAUCAAACCAGCCCCUCACGGACCCUGGACACCUGACAUCCAGCAAGCAUUGGGGACCACUCUGUAAACAGCAUCCUAACUAGUCACCUGACUCAUUCUCUGUUCUGCAAACCUGGGAAUCUGAGGGCGGCAGCAUUCACACACAGUGAGAGCCUGGGCUCUGCUCUCAGGACCUGCAAGUCUCAGGUGCCUUCACCUCCACUACAUCUGCACUGCCCUCGCUGCAGUGAGUAGACCAGACCCGCUUCUGCCCCGCCCACUCGGAUCUCUGCGGGCUACGCCCCCGCUGUUCUCUUCCUUCCCCUCUGUCCCUCCAUCCUCUCUUCACCUUCUGGCAUUUUCCACUCUGACACUGACCUUUGCGUUGACACAGUCAGUCAAUAUGUGAAACCCUUGCUUUUCUCAACCUAAAAUAAAUCCAUAAUUAAUUCA